rnacentral:rRNA from 1 species
GUGGGGAAUCUUGCGCAAUGAGCGAAAGCCUGACGCAGCCAUGCCGCGUGAAUGAUGAAGGUCUUAGGAUUGUAAAAUUCUUUCACCGGGGACGAUAAUGACGGUACCCGGAGAAGAAGCCCCGGCUAACUUCGUGCCAGCAGCCGCGGUAAUACGAAGGGGGCUAGCGUUGCUCGGAAUUACUGGGCGUAAAGGGCGCGUAGGCGGACAGUUUAGUCAGAGGUGAAAGCCCAGGGCUCAACCUUGGAAUUGCCUUUGAUACUGGCUGUCUUGAGUACGGGAGAGGUGAGUGGAACUCCGAGUGUAGAGGUGAAAUUCGUAGAUAUUCGGAAGAACACCAGUGGCGAAGGCGACUCACUGGCCCGUUACUGACGCUGAGGCGCGAAAGCGUGGGGAGCAAACAGGAUUAGAUACCCGGGUAGUCC